CUGCUCCUCCUGGGGACUGCUCCUCCUGGGGACUGCUCCUCCUGGGGACUGCUCCUGCCCACUGGUAAGCCACUCUGCCCUCCAUGGACCUCAACCCCCCUUGCUGGGUCCCCUCCUUGCCAUGUCCUCCUCAAACACCUUGACACGCCAGAGCCCCGUCACGCCCAAGGGUCAUCCUGAGACCUCCUCCCAGGAUCUGCCUCCCUCGGCCAUUUCUAACAAAGGGCUCAGCCACCCAGGUCCUUACAGUCUCAAAACUGGGGUGGGCUCCAUAGGCAGGAGGCAUGGGCAGUGAGACGUGUACAUAUGGCACUUGGCUCUCCCAUGUCCAGGGCCCAUGUUCUGGGAGCUAACCCUCAGGUGGUCAAGGGAGCCACUAGAACCUACAGGGACAAGGAGAAAUCAACCCUCUCACCUCACCUCGGCUUCCACACCUCCCACCCCACAAACAACCCAGCCUACUCAAUUGAAUUCUGUGCAGAGCCAGGAUGAGUUGGGGAUGCUGGUUUAGAAGGGGCCUGGUACUGCCCCCCCUGUUCUGGGCCUCAGUGUCUCAGCUCCAGGAGCACCUGACCCUGAGGACUCAUGACCUGGCCUCAACGUGAGGGGAAGUCUUCCUGCAAUUCUGGGAUUCUGGAACGUUCCUGAGCCUUUGCUCCCGUAUGGUUUGCCUGUGUGGCAUCUCUCUCUCUGUUAGGACGGAGGCACUGGCCUCUGCCUAGUGUCUCAUGCAUGGUGGGUGUGCACCCUACUGUCUGGGCUGGGCCUCUAGAGACUUCCCCUCAGGGCGUUCAGGUGGGUGGCAGAUUCGAUCCCUGGAGGCUGCUAGCCUGUCAUGCUUCCUUUCCCUGGAUGCUCAGGACACCUGGCCCAUUGUGCUCAGGUCUCCGCCUCUUUCUCCUAAUGUUUGGAGACAGCAGCCGUGACUGGGGACAAGUCCACUUGGCACCUCAGAUCUCAGCUCCUCUGUGGCCCUGGAAUAAAUGAAGACCAGCCAAGACCUGUUGGGGCAAAGCCCUUCCAAGAUCCCCCCUCUCCUACUCCACGCUCCCUCUUCCACCUAGCUUCCCAUGCCUCAGUUUCCCCAGCUGUAAAAUGAGGAAUACAGUACCCAGCUAGCUCACAGGAAGUUGAGAGUCACCUGGCAUGUGUGAGGCUGACAGCCCGGCCCCAGGAAGGAGCUAAAUGGGCUUCCCAUGGUCAUCCAUGAUAUAUGUGGAAUCCAGCCACAUACUGGAAUCCAGGUCACUGAGGUUUCCAGGCCACACAAAGUCCCUCCAGCUCUGUGGAGCGAGGGCUGCACCCUGUGUCACUAUACAAGUAACUGAACAGCCAAAAACCACUGCCUGCCUGCAGGCCAUGUGGUGCCUUCUUCAGGCUAUGACCAUGGAUUCAGUUCCUCAUGACCCUGAAUGCCCCCAUGAGGGCACACUUCCUUCACACCCACCCCCAAAGCCCUCCUCCUACAGGAAGUUCUCCACAAGGCAUCUGUUCUGUUCCUCCUAGACUGGUCAUUGGGUUAGUUGAGGGUGGGCCAACCUUUAAGCUAGGGUGGAGCUGUGGGCUUGGGUGAAGGAAGAGGAGACCAAAGGCCGCCAUGAGGGCCUAGCGUCCUCUUCUCCAGCCUUCUUUUCCUUGUCCAUAGCCUACGGUAAUUGUGCCAUGAAGUCACCUGUGGAGUUAGAGAAGACAGCGUGGGCAACGGCUCACGGGGCUCUGAGGAGUCCUUUUGCUCUCCCUGUGUGCUUAAGGCCUCUCCUCCCUCCCGAGGUCAAGAACAAGCUUGGACCAUGAGCUCCUCUGCAUGAGGUGGUCACCUAGAAACCCCAAGAGGAAUCCUGACAGAGCCACCACACGGAUGGAAAUGUAGCUCACUCCUACCCUGCUGUGGCCUCAGAAUCUUCUAGUGUGACCACCCAGUCCCACCCUCUCACCAAGCCCUGGCAGUCCAUCUGCAGGAUGGGACCCACUCCAGGGUCAGGGAGCGGAAGUCAAGGUGUGCUGGGUGGAUUCACAUUGCCUGUCUCAACAAGGCCCUGGGUGCGGCUAAAGCCUGGCAGACAGAUUCCCAAGCAUUGUCUUGUUGGUUUCUGCCGAUGAGCACCAAGCCCAUGUUUAUAUGCAGAUUUCAAAUACCCAUAAAAGCAGCUGGCAUGGUGCUGUCAGCCUCCCUUCCUCCUGGCCAGCUGAACAAAGACCAGCAGUCACCCUGGGCCUUUUCUCUCCCCUGCACACAAAACCACUUUAACACAGUCCUUUAGACAGUUGAGUUCUGUAGAAACACUGCCAGGCAAGCUCAUGAAGCUCCCACAUUGUCCAUCCUGCUUCCCCAUGUUGGUGUCUCAGCUGUACGUUCCCACGUUGUUAACCAAGUCCAUGGUUCAUUCAGAUUCUCUAGUUUUCCCUGAGGUCUAUUUUCUGUUCCAGGAUCCUGUCUAGGUGGCAUUUGGUCAUCCCAUCCUUUCAGACACUUCUUGUUGUGACAGCCUCGGCUUGUCUUGCUCACUGUGCUUGCAGGGCGACCUUCCACUGGGGUGUGCUGUUGGACCAGGGUGGUGGUGUGGGAGGCAGCCCUCUGAGGCAAGUGUCUGCCACGGUUACCUUCACCAUCAAGUCGAUUAGAUCUGGAAUCCCAAAGGAGACACACCUCUGGGCAUGUACGCAGGAGGGUUCCAGAGAGGCCUAAUUGAAGAGGGAGGGAAUAGCUCUGGGUGUGGGCAUCAGCAUCCCAUGGACUGGGACUCUGGAUUGAAGAAAAAAGAAAAAAGAAGGCAGGCUGAGCAUCAGCGUCCAUCUCUCUCUGCUUCCUGACUGCAGACACAGUGUGACAGCCACCUCACACCCCUGCCACCAUGCCUUCCCUGCCAUGAUGGACCACACCCCCAAACCUGAGCCAAAUACACAUCCCCUCCUAUAACUUGCUUUUUGUCAAGUAUUUGGUCACAGCAAGAAAAGUAACCACUGAAGUGUGGCUCUCAUCAUGGCCACACACCGUCAGCAGCACAGUGUAUAACGUGGGGGACGUGUCUACAUCAUCAAGUUUCAGGAAACUCAAUUUGACCAACAGUAAGUUUUCACAUUAGCACAUUCGGGCGACCCCACCCAGGUGGAGUCGGGCAUUCCUGGCCCGGAUGUCCCUUUUAUUCCUGGCUGUAGUAACUACGCCAGCUCACUCUGCUAGCUGGUUCCUGCCUAUCCGCUUGUGGGAUCUGUAAUCUCUGGGUCUUGUGAGCUCCCCUGCCUCGCUGCAUGGUGUGGUUCCUGUAUUCCUUCCGCUCAGUGUUUGUGAGUGCACAUCUCAGAUGCCAGCUCCAGCACAGAGGUGUCUGGGCUCUAGUAGGGCGAUGUUGGACUUUGGAAGACAGAACUUCUCAACAUAGCUCUGUGGGGUUCCCAUCUUCUCCCAGGGGGUGUGGUGGUUGCUGUCUUGCCAUUCUUAGAACAGUGGGGUGGUUGUACCACAAGCUUUUCUUUUCACAGCAAGGACUUGAAGUUUGGUGGACUGAACGAAUGUGUGGGUAUCUCGAAUGAAUAUGGGGUAUCACAUUGCCCCACUAAGGAAUGGCCUGCUGAGGAUCAUGGGCCAGCUUUGGGUGAAUACAUGUCCCCAGGAGGACGGGAGCCCCAAUAGCAGAGUAGGAAGCCACUUUCUAACCUCUGCUCAGUCUUAGGAAGGGCAAGAGCCUGCUGGCUGGACCUUCUGCCUAGACAGCUCUCCCAGUCUGAGGGAUUCCCCAGCAACCUGAGUAGUGGUGAUGCUGAGCAGAGGGGUGCAGCCUAUGGGCUCCAGCUCCUCCCAUGGCUGCUGAGGAGUUCUUACCAUACAGCCUGUAGUGGUGGUUUGAAAGAAAAUGACUCCCAGAAGGAAUGUCGCUAUUUAGGAGGUGUGGCUUUGUUGGAGUAGGUGUGGCCUUGUUGGAGGAAGUGUAUCACUGUGGGCACGGACUUUGAGGUCUUCUAUGCUCAAGCUAUGCCCAGUGACAGUUUCACUUCCUGUGGCCUGCAGAUCAAGCUGUAGAGCUCUCAGCUCCUUCUCUGGCACCAUGUCUGUCUGAAUGCUGCCAUGUCCUGCUAUGAUGAUAAUGGACUGAACCUCUGAAACUGUAAGCAAGCCACCUCAAUUAAAUGUUUCCCUUUAUAAGA